UUUUAAAGGGCUGCAGUAUAUUGACUGUACAAAGGUAGCAUAAUCAAUAGUCUUUUAAUUGAAGACUUGUAUGAAUGAUUUGAUGAAAUAUAAACUGUCUCUUUAUUAAAAAUAAAAUUUAAUUUUUUAGUUAAAAAGCUAAAAUAAAUAUAAAAGACGAGAAGACCCUAUAGAGUUUUAUAAUUAUUNUGAUUUAUUGCAAUUUAUAUAUUUUAAAAAUAAAUUAUAAUGAAUAUUUUAUUGGGGUGAUAGAAAAAUUUAAUAAACUUUUUUUAAAAAUUAAACAUUGAUUUAUGAAAAUAUGAUCCAUAAUUUAUGAUUACAAGAAUUAAUUACCUUAGGGAUAACAGCGUAAUUUUUUUUUUUAGUCCGAAUAAAAAAAAAAGUUUGCGACCUCGAUGUUGGAUUAAGAUAAAAUUUAAAUGCAAAAGUUUAAAAUUUU
rnacentral:rRNA from 1 species